CAGUAGCCGCGGUAAUACGUAGGUGGCAAGCGUUGUCCGGAAUUAUUGGGGCGUAAAGCGCGCGCAGGUGGUUUAAUAAGUCUGAUGUGAAAGCCCACGGCUCAACCGUGGAGGGUCAUUGGAAACUGUUAAACUUGAGUGCAGGAGAGAAAAGUGGAAUUCCUAGUGUAGCGGUGAAAUGCGUAGAGAUUAGGAGGAACACCGGUGGCGAAGGCGGCUUUUUGGCCUGUAACUGACACUGAGGCGCGAAAGCGUGGGGAGCAAACAGGAUUAGAUACCCCGGUAGUCCCUGUCUCUUAUA
rnacentral:rRNA from 1 species